CAACACUCAAGCCUAGCUUGGUCUUGGAUCUCGCCGGAGACGGCGGAUCUUAAAAUCAUUGGCGGCGUCCGCUCGGCCCUAAGCGCAGUAACUCUUCUCGCUAUAGGGUCCUGGUGGGUGCUGGCCACGAACCCCCAACUUUCUAA
rnacentral:misc_RNA from 1 species